GAUGAACGCUGGCGGCGUGCCUAACACAUGCAAGUCGAACGAGAUGCUUAUUGGAAAGCUUCGGCCGGAAGAUAAGUUAUCUAGUGGCGGACGGGUGAGUAACACGUGGGUAACCUGCCUUGUGGAGGGGGAUAACAGAGAGAAAUCACUGCUAAUACCGCAUAAGCACACAGUACCGCAUGGUACAGGGUGAAAAGAUUUAUCGCCAUAAGAUGGACCCGCGUCUGAUUAGCCAGUUGGCAGGGUAAAAGCC
rnacentral:rRNA from 1 species